GGGGCCUUAGCUUAGUCUGGUUCAAAGCCCCCGGCUCAUAUCGGCGUCCGUCCGCGUGGCGGGUGUCGUGGGACACCGGGUGAGCGGUGGUUCAAAUCCGCCAGGCCCCA
rnacentral:tRNA from 1 species